AUGUUUAGGAAUUUUCUGGAUUUUUCUAAAUUUUUCUGAAAUGUUCUAGAAUAUUCUGAGAUUUUCUGAAAUUUUCUGGGAUUUUUGAAUACUUUAUAGAUUGUCAGCGAAUUUUUGGAAUUUUCUGAAAUUUUCUGGAACUUUCUG
ensembl:ncRNA Y69H2.19 ncRNA